CCAACGUGGAUAUCCUGUGAGGUUGCUCGUGUGGCUCUGUCCUUGUGGCGUAAGGGAGCAGAGCACUUUUCAGUGCCAUUGACGUACAGUCCUGCUCCACGACAUUGGAGAGAAAGCCUGUCCCUGGCCUUCAGGCUGCUGAGGACAGCGUCCUGUGUAUUCCUACAUCUAUCCAGAGCCCUCGGCAAUUACUAGGGAGGUAAACGGUGAGGAAUU